CCUACGGGUGGCAGCAGUGAGGAAUAUUGGUCAAUGGACGCAAGUCUGAACCAGCCAUGCCGCGUGCAGGAAGACUGCUCUAUGAGUUGUAAACUGCUUUUGUACGGGGGUAAACGCAGAUACGCGUAUCUGUAUGAAAGUAUCGUACGAAUAAGGAUCGGCUAAAUCCGUUCCCACAGCCGCGGUAAUACGGAGGGUUCAAGCGUUAUCCGGAUUUAUUGGGUUUAAAGGGUGCGUAGGCGGGCGGAUAAGUUAGAUGUGAAAUCCCGAGGCUUAACUUCGGAAUUGCCUCUGAUACUGUUCGGCUAGAGAGUACGUGCGGUAUGCGGAAUGUAUGGUGUAGCGGUGAAAUGCUUAGAGAUCACACAGAACACCGAUUGCGAAGGCAGCUUACCAAGGUACUUCUGACGUUGAGGCACGAAAGCGUGGGGAGCAAACAGGAUUAGAUACCCGAGUAGUC
rnacentral:rRNA from 1 species